UACGUAGGGGGCAAGCGUUGUUCGGAUUUACUGGGCGUAAAGGGCGCGUAGGCGGGUUCUCAAGUCUGUGGUGAAAGCCCCCGGCUUAACCGGGGAAGUGCCGUGGAUACUGGGGACCUCGAGGAGGGUAGGGGCAUCUGGAACAGCCGGUGGAGCGGUGAAAUGCGUUGAUAUCCUAAGGAACACCGGUGGCGAAAGCGGCGUACUGGGUCUUAUCUGACGCUGAGGCACGAAAGCUAGGUGAGCUAACGGG
rnacentral:rRNA from 1 species